CUACUAGGGCUUAAUAGGUUAUAUAUAACGGUGUAGAUGGUAAAAUCCCUACCAGCCAUUUCUUGCCGAGUCAGGGCUCAACGAGGAACACAGAAAAAGGAGGCAGCAAGUUUUUUUUCACCUCACCGCCAUGAGAGCCAAGUGAAAGAAGAAGCGCGUGAGAAGACUGAAGACUGAAGAGGAAGCGCCGAAAGAUGAGACAGAGAUCCAAGUAGGCGGAACAGUUGGCCUUGUUCUACGAGGUUUCUCAAUGUCUUAGCUUAAUUUGGCGUGCUUUUAGGGAUAAGUUAUCUGCCAUUUUUGUUUUUAGAUUCAAGUUCUGUUUUUGUUUCUAUAGUCUUUCAAUUCGGUGCUAAUCAUGCCGUGGAUGUUUCAUUGUCGAGAACAGUGAAUGGUUUUUUUAAUAUAAUUAUUACCCUUUACCUA